UACGUAGGGUGCGAGCGUUGUCCGGAAUUAUUGGGCGUAAAGAGCUCGUAGGCGGUUUGUCGCGUCGGGAGUGAAAACCCAGGGCUUAACCCUGGGCUGGCUUCCGAUACGGGCAGACUAGAGGUAUGCAGGGGAGAACGGAAUUCCUGGUGUAGCGGUGAAAUGCGCAGAUAUCAGGAGGAACACCGGUGGCGAAGGCGGUUCUCUGGGCAUUACCUGACGCUGAGGAGCGAAAGUGUGGGGAGCGAACAGG
rnacentral:rRNA from 1 species